GCAUCAAGUCACAUUUUACUUCUUGGUUCUUUCAGUGAAAAGUACGGUGUCACUGGCUAAUACCCUGAGCAAAUCUUUCAAUGUCUCCUAUUCAGAAUUAUCCGAUCACUUGGCCCAAUAUCAGGAUGGCUGGGCUUUUUUGAGCAGCACAUCGAGAAUGUACUUGACGAAAAGGAAUAUUAACACUGACCCACAAGGAAGAAAUCUUACAAGUUGUGUUUCUGCUCAAACGAUACAUGUGGAUGAGUGUACACAUGAGAUAGAGCAGAACUAUACCUACUACAACUCGUCUUCUAGCACAUGAUGUCAUAUUUUCAGAAGCCAACGACAAGCCUCAACAUACACGCAAACAGUGAAGACUGAAAAUGUAUUUUAUUAUGAUACAAGAGCAAAACUACAAUGUUAUAGAUGAAGGCUUGAAACUUUUGCCAGGCAUAAAAUACCAAUAAAGUUUCAUUUAUUUUGACUUUA